AUAAGGAGUCGGACCUGCCCAGUGAUAUUUUCAACGGCCGCGGUACUCUGACCGUGCAAAGGUAGCAUAAUCAUUUGCUCUAUAAUUGAGGGCUAGUAUGAAUGGUUUGACAAGAAUAAAGCUGUCUCCUUACAAUUUUAUAGAAUUUUAUUUUUAGGUGAAGAAGCCUAAGUUAAAUUAAAAGACAAGAAGACCCUAUCGAGCUUGAAAAAAAUUAAUAGGCUUAUAAGAAUGUCUUGCUAAAACUAUAACUGUUAAAAAUUUUGGUUGGGGCGACUGGGGAACAAACAAAGCUUCUUUUAAAAUAAUUAAGCAUACAAGCAUUUGAUCCAGAAUUAUUCUGAUUAAAGAAAUUAGUUACCGUAGGGAUAACAGCAUUAUCUUUUUUGAGAGUUCUUAUCGAAAAAAAGGUUUGUGACCUCGAUGUUGGACCAGAAUAUCCUAAAGAUGCAGCAGUCUUUAAGGGUUGGUCUGUUCGACCAUUAAAAUUCUA
rnacentral:rRNA from 1 species